rnacentral:rRNA from 1 species
CACCUACGGGUGUGAAGUCAUUGAUGCCAUGCUUCCAGGAAAAGCCUCUAAGCUUCAGAUUGUAAGGAAUCGUACCCCAAACCGACACAGGUGGUCGGGUAGAGAAUACCAAGGCGCUUGAGAGAACUCGGGUGAAGGAACUAGGCAAAAUGGUACCGUAACUUCGGGAGAAGGUACGCUCUCGACGGUGAAGUCCCUCGCGGAUGGAGCUAUUGAGAGUCGCAGAUACCAGGUGGCUGCAACUGUUUAUUAAAAACACAGCACUGUGCAAAAUCGUAAGAUGACGUAUACGGUGUGACGCCUGCCCGGUGCCGGAAGGUUAAUUGAUGGGGUUAGACUUC